rnacentral:rRNA from 1 species
AGCAGCCGCGGUAAUUCCAGCUCCAAUAGCGUAUAUUAAAGUUGUUGCAGUUAAAAAAGCUCGUAGUUGAAUUUCGGGGUCAGUAGGUUGGUCGUGCCACUGGUAUGCACUGGUCUCACUGAUUCCUCCUUCCUGGUGAACCGUAAUGCCAUUAAUUUGGUGUUGCGGGGAAUCUGGACUGUUACUUUGAAAAAAAUUAGAGUGUUUAAAGCAGGCUAACGCUUGAAUACAUUAGCAUGGAAUAAUGAAAUAGGACGUUCGAUCUUAUUUUGUUGGUUUCUAAGAUUGACGUAAUGAUUAAUAGGGAUAGUUGGGGGCAUUAGUAUUCAAUUGUCAGAGGCGAAAUUCUUGGAUUUAUUGAAGACUAACUACUGCGAAAGCAUUUGCCAAGGAUGUUUUCAUUAAUCAAGAACGAAAGUUAGGGGAUCGAAGACGAUCAGAUACCGUCGUAGUCUUAACCAUAAACUAUGCCGACUAGGGAUCGGAUGAUGUUAAUUUUUUAAUGACUCAUUCGGCGCCU